ACAGAAUGACCGCUGGGCGGUGUAUAUAAGUAGUGGGCCCGGGUGUCUCCGAACUGAGACUGCAUAGAGUUAAAUUACGCGAUGAUGGGCGAAGCGUUCACGGUAGUCUUGGUCGUCGCGCUUUGCAGCACGAACGUUAUUCAGGCCAAGCUCGGAGCACCGGGAUGUCCAAUGAAGUUGAAGAAGUCCGAUCUACCGGAAAGCUUCAAGAUAAUCUCAAGCUGGGAGUCCGCACUGGCCAUAGCGGUCUCGGGCACAGACCCCAUGUACGACUGUAUGACGGCGAACCGCACCACCAUUGACUACGAGGCACAGACAGCAACAUUCGUGUGGGCCCUCCAAGCGACAGGCCAUUCGGCAAGGCAAGAAGUCACGUUCUGGUCAGACCGGGACCUAAGCCUCACACCAUGGAGAUGACUGUGGGCGACGACCCCAAAGUCUUGGAGGGCGUGUUCUAUUACAUGGAUGACACUUGCCUUGUGAUGGACCUCGAGUACCACGAUCACCUGUGUCUUCUCUGGGUUCGGAAAGAAGCUAAGGACCACGUUCCCCAGGUGUGCUUCGCACAAUUUGCCGAUGCCUGCGGGAAGCCCGCCCGCCAUCACGGGAAGCAACUCUGCCCCGGCGUCUAGAUCCCCAACUGGAUCGACAGCAAAAUCGACGGCGAUCCCUCAUAGCUGUAGAUGCGCGACACUUGUAUCGACUGUUAGUCAGUUUGAUUCACCGACAAAUGUGCACCCUUCUAAUUUUUCAAUAAUACCGUGUAAGCGUUUAUCCCCGACACGGAGUUUCUAAUAUCGGCGAGAAGUAAGAUCAGCGACACGACGAUCAGUUUUUCAUCGGUCUUGUAGAUAUAUGAGCACACAGAUAACGAUGAGAGGGUGCAUGCAUCCUUAAGCAGACAGCGUAGCAGAUGGCGCUCGCCCAUGAGUAUGCUUUCCGCGCUUGCGCGCCUUACAGCAUAUCUCGCUGCUUCUCGCCUAUAUAGGGCCCUACCAUGUCCCGUGGUCAAUGCUCGCGAGAUAUUAUUAAACAAUUGCAAGGGUGUGCAGUUAGUCAAUAGGUCUGUAGAUCGACAGUGACAUCGAAACUUACAGUACCAGCCAUCUCGACAGCUGAGUUAACAGCUAAAUGAACAACAGAGAGCUGAGUAUUGACCAAUAUGUAGACGACAAAUGAUUUACAUAAGGAUAUGCAGUUAAUCGGCAGCCAGAUCGACAUCUAGGUUCACAAAUAGAUCGCCAACUGUAGUUCGACACAUUGAUAUCUAUGAAUAUCUCGACCUAUACGGGAACGACCAUGUCUUUUGUCAAGCCGAUUUUGUCAAAUUACCGUCCCUCAUAUGCGCUAGAGAACUGCUAGAUAUCUUUAAAAAUUUGCUGAACCUAUCAUCAUCCUUGAUUCAUGCAAAUGUUAAACUUUCGCGCAAGGAACCACAAAUAUCAUUUGUAGCCCAGAUAUCCUCUGAAUUACAAAUAGGCAACAUAACAAAUAAGCUAGCUUGACAGUUAUAUUUACAGACAGAGUAUAUAGACCGCUCAACGGACAACUAUAUCAACAGUUGUAUCAAUGAACAUAAACCACUUGAAAUACUAGAUCCACUGCUAGAUGGACAGCAAGGAUAGGGCAAGGCCGAGUAACAGAUCGACGGAUAUUAUCGACAAUUGGUUUACAGCUUGACUGACAGGCAAGAAGUGUCGAUGAAAAAGGCUACGAACAUGUAUUGUAUACCAGUACGCAGCCGGAGAAAAGCUUAUUCUUCCAAUACUGAAGAGAGAUUGCAUGUAAACUGUCAUUUUGUGGUAUUGAAUAAAAGAA